UACAGAGGUCUCAAGCGUUGUUCGGAUUCAUUGGGCGUAAAGGGUGCGUAGGCGGCGCGGUAAGUCGGGUGUGAAAUCUCGGGGCUUAACUCCGAAACUGCAUUCGAUACUACCGUGCUUGAGGACUGGAGAGGAGACUGGAAUUUACGGUGUAGCGGUGAAAUGCGUAGAUAUCGUAAGGAAGACCAGUGGCGAAGGCGGCACGCUGGACCCCAUCUGACGCUGAGGCGCGAAAGCCAGGGGAGCGAACGGG
rnacentral:rRNA from 1 species